ensembl:lncRNA
AGAGAGAGAGAGAGAGAGAUGGACUGAGGCAAGCACAUAAACCUCAAAUGGAAUCUAAAAUGGAAUUUUGGAGUAACUUGAAUGGCAGAGUGAAUCAAGUCUGAGAGUGAAUAGAAGGGGAGAGUGAACCAAGUUUGAGAGGGAGUCAAAUCUGAGCAUGAAUCAAGUCUGGGAGUGAAUCAAGUCUGAGAGUGAAUCAUGUCUGAGAGUGAAUGAUGUCUGAGACUGGACUGAAUGGGAGAGUGAAUUGAAUAUAAGAGUGAAUCAAGUCUGAGACUGAAUCAUGUCUGAGACUGGACUGAAUGGGAGAAGUGAAUUGAAUAUAAGAGUGAAUCAAGUCUGAGACUGAAUCAUGUCUGAGACUGGACUGAAUGGGAGAGUGAAUUGAAUAUAAGAGUGAAUCAAGUCUGAGAGUGAAUUGAAUAUAAGAGUGAAUCAAGUCUGAGAGUGAAUUGAAUAUAAGAGUGAAUCAAGUCUGAGAGUGAAUUGAAUGGGAGAGUGAACUGAAUGAGAGUGAACUGAAUGUGAAAGUGAAUCAAACAUGAGUGUGAGAAUGAACUGGAUUUGGGAGUGUGCUGAGUCUAAGACCGAAUUAAAUUGGAGUGUGUGAAAGUUUGGUAGAGAUAGAGAAAUGUAGAAAAGAGAGAAAGAACAUCAGUGACAAAAAAGAAGCAAACCCAAAGAAAGAAAAAAAGAAGGAAAGAAAAAAAAAAAGUCAAAAGGAAGUUAUAUAAAAGACGAGUAGAAGGUAGAAAGAGAUUUUUCUUGGAUGUCAGAUAUCUGCCAUCUCUCUUCGUUGUCCUUUUUAUUGCCUCAUUAUCACAAUACCUGAUAAAUCAGGGCAUGCUGCAUGUAAAUGAGAUGCAUUUGGGGUACAUUGUGGUGUGUUGGAUGCAUUUACGAUAGGGAUAAAUAGGGAUGAGUGGGCGGGGCUUGUUUUCACACAGAUUAAGCACUGCUUUUGCAGUUUUCAUGAAUCGGAUGCAGAUUGGCUCAAAUUGUCUGCUCUUUUCUGCUAUGUGAGAGAAAGAGAGGAAAGAAAAGUAAUAAAAGUAAUAAAAACUCAAGAGAAAGUACAUAAUGAGUAGGUCUUAAUGACCGCCGAGCGUCACAAUUAUAUAUAUAUUUCAUCUCCGAGUUAUUAUCCCAGCUCCCAUCUGCUCAGAUGUUAGAAAUGGCUCUAAAUCCAGUGUGACAUUUAAACAUUAUCAAUCAAAAUGUCACACCAAAUUCCAAACAUGCAGAACUCUGCAAUUUUAUAGGAAUAAAAGACAAAGAAGUUUUAAGAUAACAACAAGUUUUAAUAUUCGCUUUUUUGUUUUGUUUUGUUCUGCAUUCAAAGCAAAACAGCAAUUAGGGCGAAUGAAUAAAAAACCGAGGCGUGGUGCGGAGAAAGCACUCGAGUCAGGAGUUUUACUCGAACACACGGCCUGCGGCAUCCUCAUUUCCUCACUUGUAAGUCACUUUGGUUAAAAGCGUCUGCUAAAUGAAUAAAUGUAAAUAAAUGUAAAUGUAGAGGCUCGAAAGCAGGGCGGACUGUCACCCGGCGUCAUUCGCAUUGAAAUCUACUAUCAGUGAUUGACACGUUGGCCGGCAGGGCUGUGGAUUUAGCAAUAGCGGCGACUGACAAAUAGAUUAGCGAGGGUGAACUUGGACUUUGAGCUGACAGAGAAACGUGAGUGAUUGACGUACUGGACUGCGAACAGAGAAUGUGGCCUUUUGAAUUUUAAAUGAAGCUCUGUGGGUUUAUUUAUAGAUUCGUAUUAUUUCAGGGAAAAAAAGCUUUGAAUUUUCAUCCUCUAUCCUCCAAAACAAAAAAAACAACAACAAAAAAAAAUUUAGUUUGGAUAUUUCUCCAAAUAUUGCAGUGUUUUCUAUGAUAUCACGUCGCUGUUGAAUUCUGGCUUGUGAUUGGCCAGGGUGUUGAUUUCAUUUUCUGUCAGUAGUUCAGCUGCAAUAUAAAAUAAAAAC